GGUAUGGGAUGAGCUUGCGUCCGAUUAGCUAGUUGGCGGGGCAACGGCCCACCAAGGCGACGAUCGGUAGCCGGCCUGAGAGGGUGAUCGGCCACAUUGGGACUGAGAUACGGCCCAGACUCCUACGGGAGGCAGCAAUAGGGAAUAUUGCACAAUGGGGGAAACCCUGAUGCAGCAACGCCACGUGUGGGAAGAAGCAUUUCGGUGUGUAAACCACUGUCAUGAGGGAAUAAGGCCCGCCUUCGGGCGGGAUUGGAUGUACCUUGAGAGGAAGCACCGGCAAACUUCGUGCCAGCAGCCGCGGUAAUACGAGGGGUGCAAGCGUUGUUCGGAAUUACUGGGCGUAAAGGGAGCGUAGGCGGAGAUUCAAGCGGAUUGUACAAUCCCGGGGCCCAACCCCGGCUCUGCAGUCCGAACUGGAUCUCUUGGAUAGUUCAGGGGCAGGC
rnacentral:rRNA from 1 species